GGUUGUGGCUCAGUAUGGUAGAGUGCUUGCCUAGCACAUGUGAGGCACUGGGUUCAAUUCUCAGCACCG
rnacentral:tRNA from 1 species